rnacentral:rRNA from 1 species
UACGUAGGGUGCGAGCGUUGUCCGGAAUUAUUGGGCGUAAAGAGCUUGUAGGCGGUUUGUCGCGUCCGCUGUGAAAACUCGGGGCUUAACCCCGGGCCUGCAGUGGGUACGGGCAGACUAGAGUGCGGUAGGGGAGACUGGAAUUCCUGGUGUAGCGGUGAAAUGCGCAGAUAUCAGGAGGAACACCGGUGGCGAAGGCGGUUAGCUGGGCAGUAACUGACGCUGAGACGCGAAAGCGUGGGGAGCAAACAGG